GAUGAACGCUGGCGGCGUGCCUAAUACAUGCAAGUCGAGCGAACGGACCAGAAGCUUGCUUCUCUGAUGUUAGCGGCGGACGGGCGAGUAACACGUGGAUAACCUACCUAUAAGACUGGGAUAACUACGGGAAACCGGAGCUAAUACCGGAUGAUAUUUUGAACCGCAUGGUUCAACAGUGAAAGACGGUCUUGCUGUCACUUAUAGAUGGAUCCGCGCUGCAUUAGCUAGUUGGUAAGGUAACGGCUUACCAAGGCAACGAUGCAUAGGCGACCUGAGAGGGUGAUCGGCCACACUGGAACUGAGACACGGUCCAGACUCCUACGGGAGGCAGCAGUAGGGAGACUUCCGCAAUGGGCGGAAGGCUGACGGAGCACAGCCGAGUGGGUGAUGAAGUGCCUCGGAUCGGAAAACUCUGUUAUUAGGGAAGAACAUAUGUGUAAGUAACGGUGCACAUCUUGACGGUACCUAAUCAGAAAGCCACGGCUAACUACGUG
rnacentral:rRNA from 1 species